AACGCACAUUGCGCCCGCCAGCAUUCUGGCGGGCAUGCCUGUUCGAGCGUCAUUUCAACCCUCAAGCUCUGCUUGGUGUUGGGGCCCUACGGUUGACGUAGGCCCUUAAAGGUAGUGGCGGACCCUCUCGGAGCCUCCUUUGCGUAGUAACUAACGUCUCGCAUUGGGAUUCGAAGGGACUCUUGCCGUAAAACCCCCCAAUUUUCUAAUGGUUGACCUCGGAUCAGGUAGGAAUACCCGCUGAACUUAA
rnacentral:misc_RNA from 1 species